CUUUUCAUUAUAGUUGGCCACCAUCCCAAAGUAACUUUUUGCUGCCAUCGUGCCUUCUCUGUAUCACUGUCGAACGUCAUCAUCCAUCCCCAGUAAAAGAUUUUCAUCACCGCUGCUCAUCCGCCGUUUCACCAUUGUCACUACCAUCUCACAGUAAGACAACUUAUCUUUAUUUUGGCUUUGUUGAGAUGAUUAGGAUUGUCUAGUACAUAUGAAGAAGAUGAUGAUUGUUCUCCCACAUACCCAAUAUCUUAUUAUUGCAAUUAACCCUAAUAUUUUAACUGUAAAUUAUCGAGGGUAAUUGGAUUACUCUUUGUUACUUGCAGUGGGUUAUUAAUUGAAGAUUAGGGAACUAGGAAUAUGAAUUUGGAGAGAGGGGCGAGAGAAUAGAAAGAAAAAGAGUUUGUGACAAAGGUGAGAUCUUUAUAGUGAAUCCUCUGUACAAAAAAUAUAUUAUGAAACAUACAAGAUUAUCUUAUAAACAUGGUAUGCCUAUUCUUUCCAUUUAAGAGUACUGGGUCUCAUCUUUCUUUAGACGUAUGAUUGGUAUUUACUGGGUUUAUCAUGACUGGAAUGAAAGUUGAGAAAAAGGAAUUAGGUGUAAGUUGAUAUUAAUUCUCGUAAGUAGAUACAUAUUUAGAUUAAUUCUACUUUAACUUGGAAUAAGAAUCAAAAAAUGAAGGAAAACUGCAUGAUGAAGAUAUGAACAGAUUCUUUCAAAGUGUAGUAAACUUGGCUGACCAAUAUUAUAUCCUCUAAAUAUUUGAUAAUAAGUAAACUCUCCAUUCAAGUAGAAGUUUGAUAUGUGUUAUGAAGUAGUGAUACUGUUACAGCAUAACAGACAAUAGAAACAAGAAAAGAAAUAUCACAAAUAAAGUUGCUUUGAACAACAUCAUAUUAAAAGCACCCAGAGAUUGAAGAAAAGGGGAUAGAGUACAACACUACUCACAUCUAUUGAUUAUCUGCUUCUUUCUCUACUUAAAUCACUUAGUUUUUUUUAUAUUUUAAAUUGGAAUAAAUCUUAAUAAAUACUUUUUAGUUUAUUUUCCAGAUUUCUUAUAACUAGGUCUAACGAUACAUACAAAUAUUAGUCUAUACAUAGCAAAAUACGCUAAAGUAAGUUGCAGCGCAACACCCGUAAUUAAUUUAUGAAGGUGUUCCAUCCCAUACGACAAGAUGAAGAGAAUGAUCAUUUCUAAUGCACUUAAUAUUAGUCUACAUAUAGUACUAUUUUUUUAUACGGAUAUACUACCCUCCUCUUAUCUAGGAUAUCGAGGCUCGAGAUAAGACAUAUAUACUGUUUUAGGUAAGCUUCCAUCAAAGGUUGGAUGGAACCAUUAUGAUAGAAUCAGGGUAAGUUUCUUAUAUCUUGUUUAUGACCUAUCCUACAUUCAUUCUCUCUAGUUAGUUGUGGUAUUACUUCACAUUUGAAAUCAAUGAAACAACAUAUAGCAGUUGAUCGUUAUUUCUUGUUAAAUAAUUUCUUUGACUUCAUUUUCAUGUAUUGUUUACCAAUAUAAAAUUUUAAUUUUCUACUCCAAGUAUCACAUGUAGUUCCUUUUCUUUGUGAUUAGCCCUUAUUCAUGUAACAAUGAGCUCCGACUCUUUUUUCUGCAGUUUUUAUGAGAUGAGUUUUCAUACUCGUUCCUGCAAUUAGAAUUGAAGUCUUAAUUUUUUGUUAGAAUAUCUGACUAUCAAUGGUAGCUUCUCCCUUAUUUGUGAUAACCACAGAAUCUUGAAAAUAAGAGAGCUCAAGAAACAUAUGAGAGGAGAAGAUAGUUAGCAAAACAAAUAGUACAAGCGCCAGGGAUGCCAUUUUAAAGU
rnacentral:lncRNA from 1 species